rnacentral:rRNA from 1 species
UACGUAGGUGGCGAGCGUUGUCCGGAAUUACUGGGUGUAAAGCGCGUGUAGGCGGCAGGCCAAGUCGGUGGUGAAAGCGCCCGGCUCAACUGGGCGAGGUCCAUGGAAACUGGUCAGCUGGAGGACGGUAGAGGCGAGUGGAAUUCCCGGUGUAGUGGUGAAAUGCGUAGAGAUCGGGAGGAACACCUGUGGCGAAGGCGGCUCGCUGGGCCGGUCCUGACGCUGAGGUGCGAAAGCGUGGGGAGCAAACAGG